rnacentral:rRNA from 1 species
CCCUUAGAUGUUCUGGGCCGCACGCGCGCUACACUGAUUCAUGCAACAAGUUUUGUCCUUGGCUGAUAGGCCUGGGUAAUCUUUGAACGUGACUCGUGAUGGGGAUAGAUGAUUGCAAUUAUUCAUCUUCAACGAGGAAUUCCUAGUAAACGCAAGUCAUCAGCUUGCAUUGAUUACGUCCCUGCCCUUUGUACACACCGCCCGUCGCACCUACCGAUUGAAUGGUCCGGUGAAAUCUUCGGAUCUGAGAGAUGUCUGAUUAAUUUCGGACGCCUUUUGGAAAAGUUGCUUAAACCUUACCAUUUAGAGGAAGGUGAAGUCGUAACA